UGAUGCAGUCUGAGGAUCACCAACGAAUAUGGAUGCACAAGGCAGCAGCUAUUAUUCAUUCGAAAACACUUUUAACGUCUUAGAAAGAUAUGCGUAUGUUGAUGGCGUAAUGGAUAAAGAGUGGAGCGGAGGGGGACAAGUUUAUGUUCGCCAUACUUAGCGUUUGAUGCACAUGUUUCGAAGUUUUGGACCUUAUCCAUUGUGUAAAGGUAACAAGCAACUGUAGUAUGAGAGCAUCUCAUCUGCUAGGCUAAUUUCCUUAUAGAAUGGUGAGGGGCCUUGUGGAUGGGCUUGUUCAAUCGAUCCUCAUUGAACUGUACAGGUCAGUCGGAACGCAAAGUCUAUCAAAUCGAAUUUCCUGCCCCUGGAGACUUUUCCGUACACAGAACAAAUAUCUUGAACAACCUCAGUAGAUUUUGAACCUUGAUUGAAAGUAAAAAGAAGCAGACCAGGAUGUUUGAAGACGUGUGUGAUAUUUUGAAAACAAGGAAAACGAAAAACAAACCGAAACAUUAAUGUUUGACGGUGAGAACUGGCGUUUUAAACGGAUAUUUAACGGCUUUAAUUUGUGUUUUAAUAGAAACAAACCGAAACUUGUAUUCUUUCUGAAGUUUUGAAAUAUUUCAAUAUUGCAGAUCACUCCUGUUUGAAAUAUAUAGUUUUCAAAGUGACUAGUCACUGAUCUAUAAAUUAGAAAAUUACUAUUUUAAAAUCUCACAACGAGAUUUGGCAGCGCCACCUCUAGCCAAACAAUUAUUCUGUGCUGAUGAAGGAAAAUAAUCCAGAAAUCGCGAUACACAGAUAUUGUUUUGAGCUGAGUUGGGGUGCUAAAUUCCCUUGUUCGAAAAUAUAAGGAUACAGAUCGUCCUGGGGUCGAUUUGCUCGACUAAAUGUGGUGCUCCAGCAUGGCCGCAGUUAAAUGACUGUAACAAAUAAAAGAAUAAAAGAAUACAUAUAUAUACACAUCCAUAUAUUCUUUUAUGCAUACACACACCGGACUAUACUAACGAAUCGAAUGACACACUUCACACUUUCAAUGCCUCUCUGUUACCCUCUCCGCUCCCCACUUUACACCACCACCCAAUACAGCAGAUCUCCACCUCCCCUAUUUCAAGUGGACAGGUGUCCACUUAACUCCUAAUAUAACAUCAUGCCUGAAGUAUGUUUGUCCUACCCCCAAC